GAUGAACGCUGGCGGCGUGCCUAAUACAUGCAAGUCGAGCGAACGGACGAGAAGCUUGCUUCUCUGAUGUUAGCGGCGGACGGGUGAGUAACACGUGGAUAAACUACCUAUAAGACUGGGAUAACUUCGGGAAACCGGAGCUAAUACCGGAUAAUAUUUUGAACCGCAUGGUUCAAAAGUGAAAGACGGUCUUGUUGUCACUUAUAGAUGGAUCCGCGCUGCAUUAGCUAGUUGGUAAGGUAACGGCUUACCAAGGCAACGAUGCAUAGCCGACCUGAGAGGGUGAUCGGCCACACUGGAACUGAGACACGGUCCAGACUCCUACGGGAGGCAGCAGUAGGGAAUCUUCCGCAAUGGGCGAAAGCCUGACGGAGCAACGCCGCGUGAGUGAUGAAGGUCUUCGGAUCGUAAAACUCUGUUAUUAGGGAAGAACAUAUGUGUAAGUAACUGUGCACAUCUUGACGGUACCUAAUCAGAAAGCCACGGCUAACUACGUG
rnacentral:rRNA from 1 species